GUUCAUCUAGGAGCAAAGAAAAGGAGCUGUCACACCGCAAAAAGAUAAAAUAACUGACACAACAAAUGCAGGGCCAAAAGGCACAAUUCGGAGUACCUCAAGGAUAAUAGGUGCAUAAAAUUCAGUCACAAACACAUAUAAUCCUCACAUUACAUAAAACUCAGUCCUGGAACAUAGCCAGACUAGUAUUAAACAGCUAAAUUUGACCAAACACAGGUAAGGCAACUUCCACAGCCACAACCGCAUAACAAAUCAGGAAUCACUGGGACAAUGCCAUCAUCCCUCAGAGUUUCGCUGCCUGGAUGUCAGAUGAUGCUUCCCCUCCCUCCAAGGCGCCUACUUGGAUCGCUGCCUCAUCUUUCGGCGCUUCCUCUUGAGCCUCCUCAUCCUCUUCUUCUUCCACUGCACAUUAAGACGAAAUGCAGAUCAUCAGUACAAAUUGCAUAGUGCUAGAUGCGCAGGAACAUGAGAUAAUUCCACAUGAAACGAGAAAGUAGUAUGUACUUCAGAAUCAGAAGAUUGAGUGUUUCAUUGGAUAUCAUCACGUGAUUUUCAGAAACACGGACCAAUUGUCCUUCAUCAUUUCCCAAACUGCCAAUUUGGCAUUGCAAAAAGAGAACUAUUCUAAGAAGGUCGUAGCUAUCUACAAACAGGUUAGGCAAAGCAAAGUAGAUCUGCAGUCAGUUUGACAUUCAGAAUGAGUAGGAGGAUUUUAUCAUCAAAUAGAUCAGACGCCAAUUGUCUUCCUCAUCAUGCCAACCGACGCAAUUAUACAAAAUAAAAACAGUGGAAAAUGAGCUAAAGAAAUGGAUAAGCAAACGUUGUUCUCUCAGACAAAUGCCUCGAUUGUCCACACGGUGUAAUAGAAUGGAUUACAUCAGACUCGUCAUCUGUUUUCAUCAUCACAGAGAACAAUGGACAAACGAAAACAGCAAAAAAAAAACAUAAAUCUGGCUAACAUAACUAGAGGCAGUAAUUAGAUCUCAUAGAGCAAGCAAAUCUGGUCGAAAUAGCAGCGGUUCUCUCAGACAAAUUUGCCUCACUUUUGUCCCCACGGUUGAAUGGAAUGGAUUGGAUCGGACAUCUAAUCAGUGUUGAUCAUCACAGAGAACCACUAAUUACGCAAGCGAGCGGUAGCAACGGCGAGAACAAACCCUCGCUAAACACUAGCACAUGUCCAGAUCUACCUCGGUCGCGGAGCAGCUAACAACAGGGAAGGGAGAUGACGGGCAGUACGAACCUUGGCCCUCAUCGCGGCGGCGGAGUCGGUCUCGCUCUCCUGUUCGCGGCGGCGGCGGCGGCGGCGGUGUGUGGACGAACUUAGAUUGUUGACGGCGGGGGCUCUCGCCUCGUACUUAUACGGGCUGGGUGCUGAAGGGGGGGGGAAACCCUAGCGGGGUUGGACGGGUGGACGGCUCGGAUCAGCCAGUGAACGGCGUUCUGAUCCGAUUAGUAAUCUGGUUUGUGGGCCUGUUGGGCCUCCAAACAACGCCUAGGCCCACGCUAACAUUUGACUGGACUUGAUUUCCUGAAGGGGGGAAAAAGAAACUUGACCAGUCUUUACUUUUAUUCUCUUUAUUUUAUAUUACUUUAAAAAGAGUAGUGUUCCUUUUUCUGCCAGACGGAGUGAUUCGUCCAACAUUUUUUUAUAAUCACUAGCAAAAGGCCCGUGUGUUACAACGGGCCAUUGAUAUUUUAGUAUUUCAACACUGAUUGUGCACAUCAAACUGAAAUAUCUCCUUCUAUUGUUAAUUGCUAGUGAAAUAAUCGAGAGGAGAUAAUAUGCCUGAAUAGUGAAGUUGUGAGCAUAGCUUAUUUCUCCUUCUCCUUGACUCAUAUGCAUCAUUUGCUUGGGGGGCAAGCUUGUAGCAGAGUUAAACCCAAAAAAAAGUUGAAUACAAAUCAAGGGAUAUAGCAGCAUUCAACUAAAUUAGUAGUGGAGUAGAGAAGCCCUGGAGCAUAUAAAGUAAAUGAUACCUCUGACAAAGCAGGUUUAAGAAGUGGAUAGUAAGUUUGAAAACAUGAACAAUGCAUAGCAAGCUUUCGUACAUACAAAUUCCCUUGUAUUGAUGAAAACAUAAAUUCACCUAUAAAAAACUAACAAAUUUAGUUUGUAUAUAUACUCUUAGUACACAGUCGAGUCAACACAAACAAUUUGCCUAUGAAAGGAUCAAGUUGGAAUUCCAUUGCUCGAUGGGUGGACGGCUCGGAUCAGCCAGUGGACGGUGUUCUGAUCCGAUUAGUAAUCUGGUUUGUGGGCAUGUUGGGCCUCCAAACAACGCCUAGGCCCAUGCUAACAUUUGACUGGACUUGAUUUCCUGAAGGGGGAAAAAGAAACUUGACCAGUCUUUACUUUUAUUCUCUUUAUUUUAUUACUUAAAAAAGGGAAACGUUUCCUGCGGCGUGCCGGCGGAACGCUUGGCCAGUCGCGUACGCUUCGUUCGAUCGAAAGCGAUCAUGCGGCCCACGUGUGGCCUCACCCCCUCGGCCCCACAUGCUCCCUCUUCCUUAUCCCCAUAUGUUUUCUUUUCCUUAUCCCCUCAAGCACCACUCAUUUUUCUUGCUUAUCCCUCCAUGCCCACCAUUCAUCCCAUGCACCUCUCUCUCCCCCUGGCCUACCUUCAAUCAAUAGCUUGCCGGCGAUGGAAGACGUGUGUGGCGAGCUGGCAGUCCGGGGCUGCACACAUGAAGCCGCGGAGGUGCGUGAGCACGACUCUCGGCGAGCGAAGAGGCGCGACGCCAAAGCUACAUCGGCAACUUGGUAUUUCCACUUUGCAACCUGAUACGACGAGUGGAGGGUGGUUUGCUGCAACCAGUGGCCCCUACUACUACGACCAACGAGGUGGCUGUGCCGUGAAGAUGGACGACGGAUGCGGCGAUUUUUGUGCUGAAACCCACGAUAGCCUCUGCUACAACCGGCCAGCCAUUUUGCUGGAACCAGCAUCGGUAAUUGCUGCCAUCAGUCACGCGAUAUGCUGGAACCAAACGCGCACUCGUCGCCGGCGUUUUUUUUCUUUUGCUAGAGUUGGGUGUUUGAUUUUGCUGGAAGUAGCUAUCCUUUUUGCUACAAAUCGACCACACGAGUUCUCCCUGUUUUGUUGUUUCUGCUGUAUCCAAUGUCUUGUUUUGCUGGAAACAACCAUCUUUUUUGGUACAAAUCGACAACAGGAAUUCUACGUGUUUAGUUGUUUUUCUGCUGCAUCCGAUGUUUCGUUUUGCUGGAACCUAGUAUUUUUUUAUUCAACCGAUCAAUGAAGGAUUGUUGCUUUCAGAUCUUUUUGCUAGAUACUUCAGUGCAAACCGACGCCCACGGCGAGCCGAAACCAGAGCAUGGUGAUGAGCUGGAACCGGCGAGCUUGCUUUGCUGCAAUGAGCCGCAAGCUACUAUGAUCAGCAGGGCGAAGAGCUGGAACGGGCGUCCAUUUUUGCUGGGAUGGGCGCCCAAAUUUGCUGGAACAGGAGUCCCGGGUUGCUGCAUCGUUCGCCGCACAGGGGAGCUACGAUGUUGGCGAGCUGGAACCGGCGCCCAAUUUUGCUGGAGCCGGCAUCUCGACAUGCUGGAACCGUGUGAAGGCAGGCGGCGGCUGAAUGGCUGAUUCGACGCUGAUGGUGUUUUGCUGCGACCAGUGAUGGAAAAGCUUCAACCAUCGGGCGAGUUGUCGAUGGCGUGAGGGGUGACGCCGGGGUGCUGCGGCCGACAACACGGUCGGUGCUGCGCGUUCUACUACAACGAGGAGUCGACCACUAGUUGUUGCAUCCGGCCACGUUGACGCUGCCACCAGCUACAACGAGAAGAUGCCAUGGCGAGCUUCGCCGCCGACGGCCGGCAGCGAAGGUACUCGUGCGGGACGGUGAGCAGAAUUGCGCGCGGCUGCGGCCGCCCGCAAGGGAGAGCCGAUCUGGGCCUUCGUAGACUCUCGUGACAAACGAAACAGCAAGGAGGGACCGGCAGAUGGAGCGGUUAAGGUCACUUCAAUCGAGCGUUGCAUGAGGAACCGGCCGAAAUUUUGGGCCGGUCCGCCGGCGCCUAGUGCUGGCCCUUAAAAAAAAGUAGCGUUCCUUUUUCUGCCAGACGGAGUGAUUUGUCCAACAUGUUUUUCUUGGGAACCGCCUUAAUCAUCUCAUCUUUUUGGUUCAAAAAAAUCGUCUCAUCUUUUAUUGACUUAUCAAAUAAAUUAUAUUUUCUUUCAUAAGUCAAAAUAAGUGAUUACAAAAUAAAAUCAUGGGUAAGAUUUGUUAAGUAUUUUUUUACACAAUCACAUAACAUAAAGAUGUAAAUUAUGGGAUAAUGUAUUGUAAUAUAAUAUAUAAUAUUUAUGCCCCAUAGCGACACGGGCAAAUAUCUAGUUCUGCUAGCAAAAAGACUAAUUACAAAACAAUAAAACUGAGCUAGCUACACGCCACCACAGCGAUUCACCGCUUUUGGCCGUCCGAUCAUUUGUUAGACGCCCCAGAUCUUCCAAUUGUCCACUGGCGGUCGCUUGGUCAUUUUCACCGUGCCUCACCCAAUGUAAAAGGGCUGCUGCUCCGGAAAGCAACCUGUGGGUCAUGUAGUUAAUUGGGCCCAGAAGCAGCCCAAUUGGUUGUGUACGUCAGCCCAUGCUAGGUUUCCUUUCCACAUCGACAGAGAAAAGAAAAGAACAAUUCAUCCUUCUCCUCUUGUUCAUACCCACGGUGCAGGGUGUCUAAUUUCUCAUGUUCCUUUCGUGCUAGGAAGCUCGUGGGGAUUGACCAACUGUCAGUUUGUUGGAGUUUGAUCUGUCCCGAUGGGCGACAAACAUAUAGCUGACUGAAGGCACGAGUAUGGCCUAUGGACUAAAGGAUUUGUUCCUUUCCCUCGGUGGCAACAUCCUAUAUGGCAGUACCUUUUCGCCUCCUUUUACCAGCCGUAUAAUUCAGUGAGUCGUUAGUAACUGUUUUGAUUGGUUGUUAGUAUUCCGGCACUGCCUUAUAUAUGGAUAUUCAUUGUUGAUAUGUGUUACAUGGUGUGAUCCCGAUCGACUCCAAUAUGGACACCCAGGCACCACACCCAGGCUCAUGCAAAUGCUCAAAACAGCCCGGUAACGCCACCACUUGUUGAUCAAAACGUUGUCCUUCUGAGUACUGAUUAGGAUUACAUGCAACCUUCUUGCUGGAAAUACGCUUCUGAAAAAAGAUGCUAAGCUGGCCUGAUAAGAUUGGCAUUAGGCUUUUGCCGUAGGAUCCUGGAACUCUGAAUUCUAGGAACAGCACCUACCAGGUUACCUGAUGUAAUCCGUAUCCUUGCAUGAGGUUUGGAGUACGUGGUUUUUCAAUUUUUGUUGGACAGUUUUAGUCGAGUUAGGUGUGUUCAAGGAUUAGCUUUGGUUUUCCCAUUUUACUCGCUAAGAAAGGUAACUGAAAUUUUGUUUCUGCUCAAUUUCAUUAGGUUGCAAGAAAAUGACUGGUUGAAAUUGCUUUCCUAAACAAAGUAAUAGAUGUACAAUAUUGAUCAACAAAUGGGCAACAAGUCAACAACGACCCAGUAGAAAUUUUAUUGUGCUGAAUAGGGCCAAGUAUAUUAUCAAACCAUUGUUGGUAAGAGGAUAAUUUACUAUGAUUCAGUUGGCAAAGAGGCUCUGAUCUGCAGUUUAAAUGACGAAGAAAUACUGGAACAUGGGGAAGAGAAGCAUGUUUCACAAAAGAAGAAGAUCCGCUAAUAUGGUAAUAAUACAUCCUAGUUAAAUAGAUUGGUUUUUCUGUAUUACGUGCUCUUCUGUCGUGAACUGCAAUUGAUUACCACAACAUGCUAUGUUUUCAUCCGUUCAAGUCUGAAGAAUGGGUACUAUCUAUCAGUCUAUAUGUUUGAAUUUUUUUUCUAAUAUCUCUACUCCUAAUGAAGCAGUUGGUAGCCUGGUACUCCGGUUUUAUUUUCGUCCGGUUUUAUUUCGUCCCACCUCCCACCACUCCGUACUACUGGUUUUUUAUCUAUCUACAAAUCUCCCCUCCCACUGGUUUAAGCCGGUUAUCAAUUUUUGGUAAUGCAAUAAAAGUCAUACGGGAAUAAAUCAUAUCACGGUCGGCAGUUAAUCUCAAACCUGCCAAGAGAUUUGGUAACAGAAUAAAUUCAAAAGGAAGGGUGGGGGAAUGUUCCUAUACAUAAGGAUGGUAAUCUCCAUCGCAUACCAUUUACUCCAGAAUCAAUCGCAUUAAUAAUCUCCAUCGCAUAAAUAAUUACUCCAAAAUCAAUCACAAUCAUAAUCUACAUCGCAUAAUUAACUUCUUCCUAUGACCACCUCGCUCCACCAAUCCCACCUGCCGUUUUCUACCAUCACGAUCGAUUUUCUCGCGUCCUCUCCUACACGCACAAAAAUAUAGGCCCAGCCUCGACCGUGGGCUGGGACUCAUCCGUCGCGCACCGCCUGCUCUGCAACGACGCCCAACGCAACCUCUUCUUUGAUGCCCCCGCGCACCCCUCGCCGCCGCCACCAACGCCCUGCGCGUUCGCCUCUACGGCCUUGAUGAUUGCACCCGCUUUCGUGACGUCCUCGCGCUCAAGCGCCGCCGGCGCAUCCACGCCUGCGUCAGCCAUGCCGAGGAGGUUGAGGAGCCCCUCGAGCCGGCCCUUGCCCUCGCCUGCGUCAACGACCCCGCCCAUCUUGGCGGGGGCGAUUCCCCCAUCGCCCGACUCAUCUCCGACGAGUAUGGCAUCGGUGGGUACGCCGCGUCGUUCGUAUGCUUGGCAGGUUCCAGAACACCCCGCGACGUGUAUGAGGCUGCUAAGCUUGACCAUGGCGAGGGGCUCGUGCUCGAGCUCGACGAGACGCAAUUCGAUCUCGGAACCAACUACGAGCUGGAUGGUGAGACUGCAGAGCAGGCAGGGGGCGCGACGAAGAUGGAAGUGGCGGCAGUUCAAGCUUGUCGCUGCCGAAGACCCUAGAGAGGUGCGUGAAGAGACCUGGUUAGUUUUGUUGGGCCCCACUGGUAGAUGCUCCAUGUCUCCUCCUCUGGUUCCUUGUGCAUUAUUGGGUUGUCUUAAUUUUCAGUCAGGAACACGUAGCCGUGAAUUUUUUUGAUUAAUAUUGAUGUCAUCGUUACAUAUUGGUACCGGGUAGAUUUGAUGUAUUAUUGUUAAGCUCUCAAGACCAGGCCUGGUUUUACAGAUGUUUAGCGCACCGGUUCCUGUUCAUUUACAACACAGCCAUGCGAUCUAUUAAGUGAUGUUUCUCUGAAUUUAUGACAGGUAAACUGCGGUAAUAACAAAUCAGAUGUCAUCUCUCAUCUUGCCGAUUCAACCUUGGAAGAUAUGGUAGAGACGAGAGGCGGUUUGGUCCAUCUGGUGGAAGGGGGAGUGGAGAUAGUAGGAGUGGAAAGCAACUCAGUCCAUCCUGGCGGAAGGGAUAUAUAUAGGCUGACAUGUCAUCGGUGCUGGGCACCACAGGCAAGUGCUGUUUAGUUGAGUCCCAAUCACGAAUUAGAAAAAAAUUCUUUGGGUUCUUGGAUAGAUGCUUAUGGUUUGUUGCGUCAUUUUUCAGGUUCAAUAUGCUGGCUGGCGCCGAGCCUCACUACUGAGUUGAAGAACUACUUGCAACGGUUGCCAAAAGUUGUGUUAAAAAAAUAGGCCCACCUUCAUAAGGAUGAUGUAAAUUGCAGCCAUACUCAGGUUUAUUCUUUGUUCCCUGCAUAUUUUUAUUUAACCACGUUAUGUUUUAGCCACUAGAUGGAAAAUAGAAAAAGGAAACGGAGAGAAUCACUUAUUUUCGUGAUAUGAUAUUUAUUUAAUAGUGAUUGCUAUUUGUUUUGAAUAUUUAAGCAUAAGGAUACCACAAUUAAAUUAUGGUUACAACACGAAAGUUGUAGAGUAGUUAAUCUCUAUCUCUACUCCUAAAGGGGGAGUUGGUAGCCCGGUGCGCAGGUUUAUUUUCGCCUCACCGAUUUAUUCUCCCUCACCUCCCAGCAUCCCCUCCACGCUGGGUUUUCUCCGUCCGACUAAAAACCAAAUCAAUUUGCAUGAUCCUCCUUGUUUGUUUUUCGGCUAAUGUCCUCCUAUCCUAGAGCAUGUUCAUCUGACUAAUCUUCUUAGUUAAUGCCCUCCUUGCCUGGAUCAUGUUCAUCCGAUUGACAAAGGCUUGGCCAUCUUGUAAUAGUAGAUGGUGAAGUGGAUAUAUAUACUACUCCCUCCGUCCGAAAAUACUUGUCAUCAAAAUGAAUAUAAAGGGAUGUAUCUAGAACUAAAAUAUGUUUAGAUACAUCUCUUUUUAUCCAUUUUGAUAACAAGUAUUUCCGGACAGAGGGAGUGCUUCAGUUUGCAUGAGAACAACCGCUUAUAUGUGUGCCUCAAUAGUAAAGUAGGAUUGCUUGGAUUAUUUUCUGUAGUAUUUUUUCCAGUUUUAAAUGUUUAGUUUCUUAACUUAUUAUGAGGCUUGCAUCGAUCAAAGAAAUCAUGCUCCCUUGGCUUAAUCAAAUGUACUUAUGUUUGCUAAUUUAUUUUUAGUGUGUGUUUCCUCCUACUAUCUUAUUAUUCUAUAGCUAACUAUAUUUUGGAAUCUGGUGGGUGCAAAGAAAAUGGCAGUUUCUAGAUUUCUGUAGUAUUUCUGGGUAACAACAGGUUCCAAAGUGACGGGCAUUGCUAAAUCAGAUAACAUACUAUUCAAAAAGAGAACACAUUCAUCCCUUCAUUUUAGAGAUUCAAUAAAGCAAGCAAAACUUGGAAUCCAAGUCAGAAUACCAACUAUUGUACUACUGAAUGCACAUUUAUUUGCCGACAUGAAACUAUCUAUCACAUGUAGGUGUGUUUGCUCCUCGGAGCAUAGCAAAAUGAUAUGCUCUUACAUAAACAUUAUCUUGCUUACAGUGUUAAUUCAAAGCCUUAAUUCAAGGUCGGAUCUUGCUUACAAUGUCAAUAUAAUCGCUUUUAAUCUCUUUCAAGAUUAAUAAACUGCACAUGCAUGGCACGCAAAUAGGACAAACUUGACUAGAUCUACACAUAUAUUUUUAUCACUUCUAAUAUCUCAUCGACUGUUUACAUGCCAUAUUGCAUACCAAGAAUACAAGAGUGCUGACUUUAUUUUAUUUUAUUUUAUUUUAUUUUAUUUUAUUUCUGAAAUAGUUCCCAAUUAGGCUUACAAUUAUUUUAUAUUAGUGUUACUUCCUUUGUCAAGCUUAUGAAGAAUGUAUUUCCUUGAACAGUAUUUCAUCCAUUUGGAUUUAGGUGACAUGUGUGGUGGCACGAGAAAAUGGAAGGCCCUAAGCUGAAGGAGAGCAUCAAUUGACAUGAGUGAUAAGCAAUAUCUAUUAGAAACACAUACUAUCAGGCUAAUGCAAACCACUUGGGUAUGAAGUAUACUUACCACAACUUUCUAGGUGUUGAUCAACUUGUGUUUUCUUGUUAGUAAAAGAAACAUGUUGUUUUUUUGUGGUUCAUGGAUUCAUGCUCAAUGUUGAAUUAUUAUCUGAUCUGCAGAAGCAUGUCUUACUGCUGCUCAAGGUCACAUGAUUUAUAAUUUAUAACUACAAUUAUUUAAAUCAGUAUCUUGCACGAAGUCCUGACAUCUGGCUUUAUCAAAGAUUCCACUAUGUUUAUUUCUCCAUCAUAUCGCACAAUGAAUAAUAACAGUAGAUAGAUAUCCCCUUUUUAUGCAAUGAAUUUCAUGAAAUAAAACAGCGUCCAUCACCGUCUCUGAUGUAAUCUUAAGUGCACAUGCAUGGCUUAAUGUCACUGCUAUCUCGUAGUUUCACAUGCUAUUCAAGUUUACGGCAUACAGUACUUAACAUAUAAGUUGUGUCAUAGUAUUAGUGUCAUCUUUGGCUGCUUCCUUUCUUGAAUUUUCCGAUGACAGUGUACAUGCCUUAACAUAUUCGAAGUUGUUGAUUUUUUUGUUGCAAAUAUAAUAUUUAGUAAUUUAACGUGAGCCCUUGCAGGUCCAAUUAAAGCUAUUUGACCAGAAGCUAGGUGAUAUGUGCUCAAAAGAAUCUACCCUGUUAUGCACCAGUUUUUUGCCUUAACAUUGUUUCUGCAAUUACACUAUAUAUCUUGUAUUAACUGGAUUUUUAAGAUGACGAUUAAGGAAUUCAUCUACAAUUAGGAACUUACUUCGCGACAAGGAAGGUCCAGUGGUUGGGCAACAACAUGUGGAAGGAUAAUUACUGGAUACAUUUUUUUAGCGAACAACAGCGGAGCGAUUUGAUGUCUCAAAACAUGUAAGCUGACUUGCCCUCCAUGGAAUGGAAUGACUACAAAAACUUUUGUCAUUUCAUCUAAGAAUAUUUUAAAUUAGUUAAUAAAUCAUACAGACUUGAUAUUUUCUUGGUCUCAUGCAACUAUGUGUGGUUUCUUACUUUACUCCACAAUCAUCUGUGGCAAUUAUGAGGUAUUUUUCGCCAUUCGUAUUUAUUCCUUAAUUUUACUAUGAAUAUAUGAGAGUACACACCAAGGGGUUCGCAAAAAGUACAAAAAAACUAGGAGACAAGCACGAGUCACCUUAUGAGGUGAUGAUGUAGGAGACACAAUGAGGUGAAAGAGACGUGAUGGACAUAGAAGAGUAAACCCACGAGGAUAAAGAGAUGUCAUGCACAUAGAAGGAGGAAGCGAGGACCUCGAUCCACAUUAUCAAAGACAUAGAUAAGAACAAGAGUAUCACACUUCCCACAUCGACCAACUAAUGACACAUGUUGCUAUUGGGGCAUAUCACCCUCCCUUGCAUUAUACAUAUUAAUAUUAAGAUGAAACACUUCGUUGAAUGCAUUUCUAUUAUAUUGUUCUAUGGCAACACCCGAGCAUUCUGCUAGAAAGGAUGCUCGGGUGUAGACAGAAUCAUAUAUUAUAUCAUUAUUAGUAUCAACAUGUUUCUAAAUGUUUUCAUACUCAGUAUAUGAUGUUAGAUUCAACAUGAGAUCUAAAGUUUUGUGUGAAGCCAAAUAUGCAGGUGUUAGCAAUACUGUUUGAUAGCUUGGGGGUACGAUGUGGCAAACGCGCAACGGCUGGCUAGCUGUGUUGGAGAGCAAGAGAUGUCCAGCGAGAAACAUCCCACUACAUGUUGGGGAAUGUAGUAAUUUCAAAAAAUUUCCUACGCACACGCAAGAUCAUGGUGAUGCAUAGCAACGAGAAGGGAGAGUGUUGUCUACGUACCCACGCAGACCGACUGCGGAAGCAUUGACACAACAUAGAGGAAGUAGUCGUACGUCUUCCCGAUCCGACCGAUCCAAGCACCGUUACUCCGGCACCUCCGAGUUCUUAGCACACGUACAGCUCGAUGACGAUCCCCGGGCUCCGAUCCAGCAAAGCGUCGGGGAAGAGUUCCGUCAGCACGACGGCGUGGUGAUGAUCUUGAUGUUCUACCGACGCAGGGCUUCGCCUAAGCACUACAACGAUAUGAUCGAGGUGGAAUAUGGUGGCAGGGGGCACCGCACACGGCUAAGAAAUGAUCUCAAGGAUCAACUUGUGUGUCUAGAGGUGCCCCCCUGCCCCUGUAUAUAAAGGAGCCAAGGAGGAGGGGCUGGCUGGCCAAGGAGGGUGCGCCAGGAGAGUCCUACUCCCUCUGGGAAUAGGAUUCCCCCCCAAUCCUAGUUGGAAUAGGAUUCCUUAAGGGGGGGAAAGGAGAGGGGGGGCCGGCCACCUCUUCUAGUCCUAAUAGGACUAGGGGAGGGGGGAGGCGCGCGGCCACCUUGGGCUGCCCCUUUCUUCUUUCCACUAAAGCCCAUUAAGGCCCAUAUAGCUCCCGGGGGGUUCCGGUAACCUCCCGGUACUCCGGUAAAAUCCUGAUUUCACCCGGAACACUUCCGAUAUCCAAACAUAGGCUUUCAAUAUAUCAAUCUUUAUGUCUCGACCAUUUCAAGACUCCUCGUCAUGUCCGUGAUCACAUUCGGGACUCCGAACUAACUUCGGUACAUCAAAAUGCAUAAACUCAUAAUAACUGUCAUCGUAACGUUAAGCGUGCGGACCCUACAGUUCGAGAAUAAUGUAGACAUGACUGAGACACAUCUCCAGUCAAUAACCAAUAGCGGGACCUGGAUGCCCAUAUUGGCUCCUACAUAUUCUACGAAGAUCUUUAUCGGUCAGACCGCAUAACAACAUACGUUGUUCCCUUUGUCAUCGAUAUGUUACUUGCCCGAGAUUCGAUCGUCGGUAUCCAAUACCUAGUUCAAUCUCGUUACCGGCAAGUCCCUUUACUCGUUCUGUAAUACAUCAUCCCGCAACUAACUCAUUAGUUGCAAUGCUUGCAAGGCUUAUGUGAUGUGCAUUACCGAGAGGGCCCAGAGAUACCUCUCCGACAAUCGGAGUGACAAAUCCUAAUCUCGAAAUACGCCAACCCAACAUCUACCUUUGGAGACACCUGUAGAGCUCCUUUAUAAUCACCCAUUUACGUUGUGACGUUUGGUAGCACAGAAAGUAUUCCUCCGGCAAACGGGAGUUGCAUAAUCUCAUAGUCAUAGGAACAUGUAUAAGUCAUGAAGAAAGCAAUAGCAACAUACUAAACGAUCGGGUGCUAAGCUAAUGGAAUGGGUCAUGUCAAUCAGAUCAUUCAACUAAUGAUGUGACCUCGUUAAUCAAAUAACAACUCUUUGUUCAUGGUUAGCAAACAUAACCAUCUUUGAUUAACGAGCUAGUCAAGUAGAGGCAUACUAGUGACACUCUGUUUGUCUAUGUAUUCACACAUGUAUUAUGUUUUCGGUUAAUACAAUUCUAGCAUGAAUAAUAAACAUUUAUCAUGAUAUAAGGAAAUAAAUAAUAACUUUAUUAUUGCCUCUAGGGCAUAUUUCCGUCAGUCUCCCACUUGCACUAGAGUCAAUAAUCUAGAUUACACUGUAAUGAUUCUAACACCCAUGGAGUCUUGGUGUUGAUCAUGUUUUGCUCGUGGAAGAGGCUUAGUCAACGAGUCUGCAACAUUCAGAUCUGUAUGUAUCUUGCAAAUCUCUAUGUCUCCCACCUGGACUAGAUUCCGGAUGGAAUUGAAGCGUCUCUUGAUGUGCUUGGUCCUUUUGUGAAAUCUGGAUUCCUUUGCCAAGGCAAUUGCACCAGUAUUGUCACAAAAGAUUUUCAUUGGACCCGAUGCACUAGGUAUGACACCUAGAUCGGAUAUGAACUCCUUCAUCCAGACUCCUUCGUUCGCUGCUUCCGAAGCAGCUAUGUACUCCGCUUCACAUGUAGAUCCCGCUAUGACGCUUUGUUUAGAACUGCACCAACUGACAGCUCCACCGUUUAAUGUAAACACGUAUCCGGUUUGCGAUUUAGAAUCGUCCGGAUUAGUGUCAAAGCUUGCAUCAACGUAACCUUUUACGGUGAGCUCUUUGUCACCUCCAUAUACGAUAAACAUAUCCUUAGUCCUUUUCAGGUAUUUCAGGAUGUUCUUGACCGCUGUCCAGUGAUCCACUCCUAGAUUACUUUGAUACCUUCCUCCUAGACUUAUAGCAAGGCACACAUCAGGUCUGGUACACAGCAUUGCAUACAUGAUAGAGCCUAUGGCUGAAGCAUAGGGAACAUCUUUCAUUUUCUCUCUAUCUUCUGCAGUGGUCGGGCAUUGAGUCUGACUCAACUUCACACCUUGUAACAUAGGCAAGAACCCUUUCUUUGCUUGAUCCAUUUUGAACUUCUUCAAAAUCUUGUCAAGGUAUGUGCUUUGUGAAAGUCCAAUUAAGCGUCUUGAUCUAUCUUUAUAGAUCUUUAUGCCUAAUAUGUAAGCAGCUUCACCGAGGUCUUUCAUUGAAAAACUCUUAUUCAAGUAUCCCUUUAUGCUAUCCAGAAAUUCUAUAUCAUUUCCAAUCAGUAAUAUGUCAUCCACAUAUAAUAUCAGAAAUGCUACAGAGCUCCCACCCACUUUCUUGUAAAUACAGGCUUCUCCGAAAGUCUGUAUAAAACCAAAUGCUUUGAUCACACUAUCAAAGCGUUUAUUCCAACUCCGAGAGGCUUGCACCAGUCCAUAAAUGGAUCGCUGGAGCUUGCACACUUUGUUAGCUCCUUUUGGAUUGACAAAACCUUCCAGUUGCAUCAUAUACAACUCUUCUUCCAGAAAUCCAUUCAGGAAUGCAGUUUUGACAUCCAUCUGCCAAAUUUCAUAAUCAUAAAAUGCGGCAAUUGCUAACAUGAUUCGGACAGACUUAAGCAUCGCUACGGGUGAGAAGGUCUCAUCGUAGUCAACCCCUUGAACUUGUCGAAAACCUUUUGCGACAAGUCGAGCUUUGUAGACAGUAACAUUACCAUCAGCGUCAGUCUUCUUCUUGAAGAUCCAUUUAUUCCCAAUUGCUUGCCGAUCAUCGGGCAAGUCAACCAAAGUCCAUACUUUAUUCUCAUACAUGGAUCCCAUCUCAGAUUUCAUGGCUUCAAGCCACUUUGCGGAAUCUGGGCUUACCAUCGCUUCUUCAUAGUUUGUAGGUUCAUCAUGAUCUAGCAGCAUGAUUUCCAGAACAGGAUUACCGUACCACUCUGGUGCGGAUCUCGCUCUGGUUUAUCUACGAGGUUCAGUAGUAUCUUGUCCUGAAGUUUCAUGAUCAUCAUCAUUAGCUUCCUCACUAAUUGGUAUAGGUGUCGCAGAAACAGUUUUCUGUGAUGUACUACUUUCCAAUAAGGGAGCAGGUACAGUUACCUCGUCAAGUUCUACUUUCCUCCCACUCACUUCUUUCGAGAGAAACUCUUUCUAUAGAAAGGAUCCAUUCUUAGCAACGAAUAUCUUGCCUUCGGAUCUGUGAUAGAAGGUGUACCCAACAGUCUCCUUUGGGUAUCCUAUGAAGACACAUUUCUCCAAUUUGGGUUCGAGCUUAUCAGGUUGAAGCUUUUUCACAUAAGCAUCGCAGCCCCAAACUUUAAGAAACGACAACUUUGGUUUCUUGCCAAACCACAGUUCAUAAGGCGUCGUCUCAACGGAUUUUGAUGGUGCCCUAUUUAACGUGAAUGCGGCCGUCUCUAAAGCAUAACCCCAAAACGAUAGUGGUAAAUCAGUAAGAGACAUCAUAGAUCGCACCAUAUCUAGUAAAGUACGAUUACGACGUUCGGACACACCAUUACGCUGUGGUGUUCCGGGUGGCAUGAGUUGCGAAACUAUUCCACAAUUUUUCAAAUGUACACCAAACUCGUAACUCAAAUAUUCUCCUCCACGAUCAGAUCGUAGAAACUUUAUUUUCUUGUUACGAUGAUUUUCAACUUCACUCUGAAAUUCUUUGAACUUUUCAAAUGUUUCAGACUUGUGUUUCAUCAAGUAGAUAUACCCAUAUCUGCUUAAAUCAUCUGUGAAGGUGAGAAAAUAACGAUAUCCGCCACGAGCCUCAAUAUUCAUCGGACCACAUACAUCGGUAUGUAUGAUUUCCAACAAAUCUGUUGCUCUCUCCAUAGUACCGGAGAACGGUGUUUUAGUCAUCUUGCCUAUGAGGCAUGGUUCGCAAGUACCAAGUGAUUCAUAAUCAAGUGGUUCCAAAAGUCCAUCAGUAUGGAGUUUCUUCAUGCGCUUUAUACCGAUAUGACCUAAAACGGCAGUGCCACAAAUAAGUUGCACUAUCAUUAUCAACUCUGCAUCUUUUGGCUUCAACAUUAUGAAUAUGUGUGUUACUACUAUCGAGAUUCAUCAAAAAUAGACCACUCUUCAAAGGUGCAUGACCAUAAAAGAUAUUACUCAUAUAAAUAGAACAACCAUUAUUCUUUGAUUUAAAUGAAUAACCGUCUCGCAUCAAACAAGAUCCAGAUAUAAUGUUCAUGCUCAAUGCUGGCACCAAAUAACAAUUAUUUAGGUCUAAUAUUAAUCCCGAAGGUAGAUGUAGAGGUAGCGUGCCGACCGCGAUCACAUCGACUUUGGAACCGUUUCCCACGCGCAUCGUCACCUCGUCCUUUGUCAGUGUUUGCUUAAUCCGUAGUCCCUGUUUCGAGUUGCAAAUAUUAGCAACAGAACCAGUAUCAAAUACCCAGGUGCUACUGCAAGCUCUAGUAAGGUACACAUCAAUAACAUAUAUAUCACAUAUACCUUUGUUCACCUUGCCAUCCUUCUUAUCCGCCAAAUACUUGGGGUAGUUCCGCUUCCAGUGACCAGUCUGCUUGCAGUAGAAACACUCAGUUUCAGGCUUAGGUCCAGACUUGGGUUUCUUCUCCUGAGCAGCAACUUGCUUACUGUUCUUCUUGAAGUUCCCCUUCUUCUUCCCUUUACCCUUUUUCUUGAAACUAGUGGUCUUGUUAACCAUCAACACUUGAUGCUCCUUCUUGAUUUCUACCUCCGCAGCUUUCAGCAUUGCGAAGAUCUCGGGAGUAGUCUUGUUCAUCCCUUGCAUAUUAUAGUUCAUCACAAAGCUCUUGUAGCUUGGUGGCAGUGAUUGGAGAAUUCUGUCAAUGAUGCAAUCAUCUGGAAGAUUAACUCCCAUCUGAAUCAAGUGAUUAUUAUACCCAGACAUUUUGAGUAUAUGCUCACUGACAGAACUGUUCUCCUCCAUCUUGCAGCUAUAGAACUUAUUGGAGACUUCAUAUCUCUCAAUCCGGGCAUUUGCUUGAAAUAUUAACUUCAACUCCUGGAACAUCUCAUAUGCUCCAUGACGUUCAAAACGUCGUUGAAGUCCCGAUUCUAAGCCGUAAAGCAUGGCACACUGAACUAUCGAGUAGUCAUCAGCUUUGCUCUGCCAGACGUUCAUAACAUCAGGUAUUGCUCCAGCAGCAGGCCUGGCACCCAGCGGUGCUUCCAGGACGUAAUUCUUCUGAGCAGCAAUGAGGAUAAUCCUCAAGUUACGGACCCAGUCCGUGUAAUUGCUACCAUCAUCUUUCAACUUUGCUUUCUCAAGGAAUGCAUUAAAAUUCAACGGGACAACAGCACGAGCCAUCUAUCUACAAUCAACAUAAACAAGCAAGAUACUAUCAGGUACUAAGUUCAUGAUAAGUUUAAGUUCAAUUAAUCAAAUUACUUAAGAACUCCCACUUAGAUAGACAUCCCUCUAAUCCUCUAAGUGAUCACGUGAUCCAAAUCAACUAAACCAUAACCGAUCAUCACGUGAGAUGGAGUAGUUUUCAAUGGUGAACAUCGUUAUGUUGAUCAUAUCUACUAUAUGAUUCACGUUAGACCUUUCGGUCUCCGUGUUCCGAGGCCAUAUCUGCAUAUGCUAGGCUCGUCAAGUUUAACCUUAGUAUUCUGCGUGUGCAAAAACUGGCUUGCACCCGUUGUAGAUGGACGUAGAGCUUAUCAUACCCAAUCAUCACGUGGUGUCUGGGCACGACGAACUUUGGCAACGGUGCAUACUCAGGGAGAACACUUCUUGAUAAUUUAGUGAGAGAUCAUCUUAUAAUGCUACCGUCAAUCAAAGCAAGAUAAGAUGCAUAAAAAGAUAAACAUCACAUGCAAUCAAUAUAAGUGAUAUGAUAUGGCCAUCAUCAUCUUGUGCUUGUGAUCUCCAUCUCCGAAGCAUCGUCAUGAUCACCAUCGUCACCGGCGCGACACCUUGAUCUCCAUCGUAGCAUCGUUGUCGUCUCGCCAAUCUUAUGCUUCUACGACUAUCGCUACCGUUUAGUGAUAAAGUAAAGCAUUACAUCGCGAUUGCAUUGCAUACAAUAAAGCGACAACCAUAUGGCUCCUGCCAGUUGCCGAUAACUUGGUUACAAAACAUGAUCAUCUCAUACAAUAAAAUUUAGCAUCAUGUCUUGGCCAUAUCACAUCACAACAUGCCCUGCAAAAACAAGUUAGACGUCCUCUACUUUGUUGUUGCAAGUUUUACGUGGCUGCUACGGGCUUAAGCAAGAACCAAUCUCACCUACGCAUCAAAACCACAACGAUAGUUUGUCAAAUAGACUCCGUUUUAACCUUCGCAAGGACCGGGCGUAGCCACACUCGGUUCAACUAAAGUUGGAGAGACAGUCGCCCGCAAGCCACCUAUGUGCAAAGCACGUCGGGGAAACCGGUCUCGCGUAAGCGUACGCGUAAUGUUGGUCCGGGUCGUCUCGUCCAACAAUACCGUUGAACCAAAGUAUGACAUGGCAGUAUGACUUAUAUCGCCCACAACUCACUUGUGUUCUACUCGUGCAAAUAACAUCAAACCAUAAAACCUAGGCUCGGAUGCCACUAUUGGGGAACAUAGUAAUUUCAAAAAAAUUCCUAUGCACACGCAAGAUCAUGGUGAUGCAUAGCAACGAGAAGGGAGAGUGUUGUCUACGUACCCACGCAGACCGACUGCGGAAGCAUUGACACAACAUAGAGGAAGUAGUCGUACGUCUUCCCGAUCCGACCGAUCCAAGCACCGUUACUCCGGCACCUCCGAGUUCUUAGCACACGUACAGCUCGAUGACGAUUCCCGGGCUCCGAUCCAGCAAAGCGUCGGGGAAGAGUUCCGUCAGCACGACGGCGUGGUGACGAUCUUGAUGUUCUACCGACGCAGGGCUUCGCCUAAGCACUACAACGAUAUGAUCGAGGUGGAAUAUGGUGGCAGGAGGCACCGCACACAGCUAAGGAACGAUCUCAAGGAUCAACUUGUGUAUCUAGAGGUGCCCCCCUGCCCCUGUAUAUAAAGGAGCCAAGGGGGAGGGGCUGGCUGGCCAAGGAGGGUGCGCCAGGAGAGUCCUACUCCCUCUGGGAGUAGGAUUCCCCCCCCCCCCCAAUCCUAGUUGGAAUAGGAUUCCUUAAGGGGGGGGGAAGAGAGAGAGGGGGGCCGGCCACCUCUCCUAGUCCUAAUAGGACUAGGGGAGGGGGGAGGCGCGCGGCCACCUUGGGCUGCCCCUUUCUUCUUUCCACUAAAGCCCACUAAGGCCCAUAUAGCUCCCGGGGGGUUCCGGUAACCUCCCGGUACUCCGGUAAAAUCCCGAUUUCAUCCGGAACACUUCCGAUAUCCAAACAUAGGCUUCCAAUAUAUCAAUCUUUAUGUCUCGACCAUUUUGAGACUCGUCGUCAUGUCCGUGAUCACAUCCGGGACUCCGAACUAACUUCGGUACAUCAAAAUGCAUAAACUCAUAAUAACUGUCAUCGUAACGUUAAGCGUGCGGACCCUACGGUUCAAGAAUAAUGUAGACAUGACUGAGACACAUCUCCGGUCAAUAACCAAUAGUGGGACCUGGAUGCCCAUAUUGGCUCCUACAUAUUCUACGAAGAUCUUUAUCGGUCAGACCGCAUAACAACAUGCGUUGUUCCCUUUGUCAUCGGUAUGUUACUUGCCCGAGAUUCGAUCGUCGGUAUCCAAUACCUAGUUCAAUCUCGUUACCGGCAAGUCUCUUUACUCGUUCUGUAAUACAUCAUCCCGCAACUAACUCAUUAGUUGCAAUGCUUGCAAGGCUUGUGUGAUGUGCAUUACCGAGAGGGCCCAGAGAUACCUCUCCGACAAUCGGAGUGACAAAUCCUAAUCUUGAAAUACGCCAACCCAACAUCUACCUUUGGAGACACCUGUAGAGCUUCUUUAUAAUCACCCAUUUACGUUGUGACGUUUGGUAGCACAGAAAGUAUUCCUCCGGCAAACGGGAGUUGCAUAAUCUCAUAGUCAUAGGAACAUGUAUAAUUCAUGAAGAAAGCAAUAGCAACAUACUAAACGAUCGGGUGCUAAGCUAAUGGAAUGGGUCAUGUCAAUCAGAUCAUUCAACUAAUGAUGUGACCUCGUUAAUCAAAUAACAACUCUUUGUUCAUGGUUAGCAAACAUAACCAUCUUUGAUUAACGAGCUAGUCAAGUAGAGGCAUACUAGUGACACUCUGUUUGUCUAUGUAUUCACACAUGUAUUAUGUUUCCGGUUAAUACAAUUCUAGCAUGAAUAAUAAACAUUUAUCAUGAUAUAAGGAAAUAAAUAAUAACUUUAUUAUUGCCUCUAGGGCAUAUUUCCUUCACUACAAUGGGAAACCGAGCGGGAAGGGGAGAGUCAGAUAGGAAAACCGAAGUUUUUGUCGUGGGAUGGGGGUUUUGUGUUGCGCCCUUGGGUUGGAGAUAACAAAUGGCGGAUAGUCCGGACAAUGACAUUUCUCCCCCACAUAUGAUCUGGAUUUCGGAAAGUCUGGACUGUCCAGACGGUUGAAUUUUGGGGAGCCCAUUGGGCACCGGACGUAUGAGGAAGAAAUGAGUUUCGAAUUUAAAGACGACUUUAAUCAUUUAUUUAAUUCAUUUAUGUGUGUUGUAGCCCGUAGCAACGCACGGGCAUUCUACUAGUAUAAGUUAUAACUCUGCUAUACUGCCAAUUUCUUGCAUGCUCAUAUGUAUGUUGUAUGGCAUUUAAUUUCUUUUGGUGGUCCUUUCCCUCUUUGAAUUGAAUGCCAACAUAGUAGAACAUGUACUGCAUAAGGUUCAGCAGGCUGGGUCUAACAAGGUAAAUCAUUAUUUCUCAUGCGGAAGUUUGCAGGAUUAUGCACACACAUUGUUUCGUUUCGUUGACCAUAGAACAUGAUUUGCUCUUUAUUUUCUCUCCUAUGCCUAAGGCUUUGAGCUCCUUCGAAAUCAUUACUAUAAUGAAAAGGAUGAGAAGUGAGUCCUUUAGACAUGGAACACACAUAAGUUCUUUGAAGAUCAUUUUAUUUGGGAUGUCAAUAACAGUUCUACCAAUUUGCAUCAAUUGUUUAUAUGCUAUACAAACCAUCACUUGGCCCUCUAUUGUCAUUAAUCAGAUGCACGGAAUUUGUGAAUAUAUAAAUAUUCUGGCUGAAGAUAGAACCAACUUGUGAUGGUUCCAUGUGGUACAUAUAACUGAAAUUGGUCAGAUGUUUCUAUAUUUCUUUCGUUAAGACAUCUUUUUUCCUUUGUUAAGAUGUGUCUAAGAUGGGCGGGCGCCGCAACGCGCGCCUUUAUGAUCUAGUACAGCGUGAUGGCGCUGGUGCGCAACUGUUGGUGCAGCACAUUCACCAUUAAUUAUAUUGUUUUUAACACAGUAUAAACGUAAGUGCUCAUAUAUUUAUACGCGCAUAUAUUCACCCCUUGUGAAUGCACGUACGCACACUCUAUCCCUAUGAGCACCUCUGAAAGACUGAGUUAGUAUAUUAUCUAAAUUUUACAAAGUCACCAUAGGCGCCUAUCCGGGAUAAAUGCAAGCAUCAUGACUUGAAUUCUGAUGGGCUGGGGAUAUCACUGUGCUCCUAACCAUUCAACCACAUAUUGGUUCACCGGGACUAAUCAUACCGGUGUAGCCAAGUCUUAUUUAAAAACUAUGGACCAAACUUCAUCCCAUAUAGUUGAACAACACUAGGGGUAGAAACGGAUCGGAUGCGGAUCGGAUAGUGCUCUUGCCACUUCCAUUUUCAUAUUUUCAAAACGAAUACGAAUUCGAAUACGGAUGUUAUCGGAUACGGAUGCGGCUCGGAUAUUAUUCAAAUACGGAUACGUAUCGGAUAUUUUCUUGAUUCGGAACGGAUACGAAUAAUAUCAACAUAUUGCUUAAGUAAAUCAGUCGAUAGCUAUGUGAACUGAAAUAAUCAACUUGUGACAUACAAUAAGUCAAUGAUAAAUAGGUUUAUGAAUAAAUACUAUUGUAAUGCAUAAUAAUUUAUAAGUUUAAUCAUAUAAAGAGUAAAAUUUGACCACUUAUUUGGCUUUUAUGUUGGAUAAUUGGAAUAUUGAGUCUAGAAAUUUGAAAAUUACCUCCCAUAAUCUUAUUCGGAUACGGAUAUAUCCACUUUCAUAUCCAUGUUUGUCUCAAAAUCUCCUACCAUAUUUUAUUUUUUAUUUGUUUAAUAAAUUCGGAUACGGAUAAUUUCCAUUUCCAUUUUGGUUCGGAUGCGGAUGUUUCGGAUACAAAUAGGCAUUUUCUCGAAUACGAAUAUCGGAUAUUUCGGAUUAUCCGCUAUCAAUUUCCACCCCUAAACAACACGCUGUUGCGGUCUGAUGUAGUUGCUACUCAUUUGUUUCUAAAGUAACUUGUAAUCAACUACUUCUUCCGUUUUGAAAUAGAUGACUCAACUUUAUACAAAGUUAGUAUAAAGUUGAGUCAUCUAUUUUGGAACGGAGGGAGUACUUCUGAUGAGAACAAAUCAAUAAAGUACCUUGUAAUCAAACUACUGAGAUAAUUUGUACCUUCUCUCCGUACCCAUGUAUAAUCAAGUAGCCUCUUAAUGUACUUUUCCUUUUUCUUCUUUGAAGCAAGUUUAUGAAGAAAAGAAUGAUGUAUUCUGAUCUCCAUGAAGCAACCAAUUAGCUCGUCCUCUCUAUAAAAACAAUUCUUCAUGAUACCGAAGAUUCUCAAUAUCUAGCCUAACAAAAAGAAGGUUAUCAAUAUUUGAAGAUCUUUUUUAUCCCUAAUCUCCCCGUCAGAUCACUUUGUCUCCAUUUCUGAAGGUCUUUUUUUAGCUUCGAUAUCCUCUUAUUUGGGCCUUUCAGAACCUCCAGAUCCCUCUGGUGUAGAUCUUUAUGAACAGCCUUGGUACAAUCAGGCAAGGGUGGCCUAGCUUGCUGGAUCCCAAGCCAAUUGGACUACCGCAUUGACGGUUUCUUCACACAACCAACGGGCUUCAAACUAUUUUCGGGCCUUCGAUUGUUGAGACAAAACAAAUUUUAAAAAAAUAUGAAGGAAAAUAGAUCAAUGGUCUGAAUGGACACGGUGCUCAUGAACCAACGCAUAUGGCAAUUUAUCCGCACACGCCUCAUUACUUGGUGAUGCCCUGGCUCCAGGUAAACUGAUCACCAAUAACAGUGGUCUGUUGAAGUCCACACAACCUCUGAAAUUAUGCAUCAAUUGUUGAGGUCGAACAUUACCACCCUCCUUCUCACUUGCAACCAAUCUCUCAUUAAAAUCACAGUAACUAACCAUGGACCAGCCGCAUUCCGUUGCGCGAGUAUGUCCAGGACAGGUGCUUCCUAUCCCAAGUUGGUUGUCCAUAAUAUCCUGUCAAGCGCCAUGAAGCAUCAUUUUCACCCAUAACAAUUGCAUCAAUAAAUUUUUCUAAAGAAUAGUUCAACACCACUUUAUUAGAUUGGUUAUAAAAAAGGACAAGGUUCCCCGAGCGACCAUCACUCUUUUUUUUUCAAGAAACUUCCAAUCUAUUUAUCGUCAAUCAUGGUGGUACAACAAACACCAGAAAUAAUAAAAAUUACAUCGAGAUAUGUAGACCACCUAGCGACGACUACAAGCACUGAAGCGAGCCGAAUGCGCGCAGUCGUCAUUGCCCCUCCCACACACGCAUACCUUACCACUAUGAGUACCUCCGACAAACUGAGGCGGCAUAUCAUCUUGAGAUGGACGAAGUCACCAAAGGCGUCUCGUAGUCGACGGGAACGUCUCCUCCCAUUAAACGCGCAUCGCAGAAAAUCCUGAAAUAAAUUCAGCAAUAAAUGUGAGCAAAAGGAUAUGAACUCUGGUGGACUGGGGAUACCACUGUCCACCUAACCAUUCAACCACAGAUUGGUAUUGCUAUGUACAAUUUGGGGUCAUGAUGACCGGAUAGCAGAUUGUGGAGCUUGUAUUUUUUUGUUUCUAUAAUAGCCGCAUGACCUGAAAGGUUUCUUUCCAUCCGGGGCAAUUAUCGUGUCAGUUAAUGGGGGGUGGGGGUGGAUAAACUGGUCACACGAUGCAUAGUUUUAACUUUCUACACCGUGAUAAAAUAAAAGGAAAUGAUUUUCUUCACCUGGCCUAUCCAUCGCGGGGCAUCCGCCGCCUCUAGUGUGCAGACGCGUGUCCUAUGUGGACCCUAUGCGUCGCUCUAUAUUUUUUCUUAUUCCCACCCAUGGUUGACCUUUGUUGAAGAAAAAGCUACAACAAGACCUCUGUUGCAAAAGUUUAUAUAUGCAGAAGACCUCUAUUUUUGCAAAAAAAAAAAGGAUUCUACAACAUGACCUAUGUUGCAAUGAUAGGCAAUAAAGAAAAAGAACAAAAGAUUAAACAAUUUGCAACAACUCUCUUGUUGCAGAAGGCAAAGCACAAUAAGGCUCAUGUUAGAUAGAUCGGAGGAAGAGAAAAAUGGUUUGAGGCUUUUUACGGUUAGUCCGUAGUUCGAAGCCUUUUGCAACAAAUCCUCUGUUGUAGAGAGACGGGUGCAACAACAUGCUUGUUGCAACUUCAUUUGCUCAUGUGAAGAAGAUGUAGUGACUUUCUUUGUCUUAGUCCGACGGCUAUGGAGGUGGACGAUCUUUUCCAUUGCUUAAACCGGCCAACACCUAGUGCAGCCCAUAAAAUAAUUCCCGGUGCCUUUCAAGCCUAUGCAACUCGUAUGGAACACACUUUCUACUCUCUUGAUGUAUGGAUUGUCUCAUCGUUUCUAGAGGAAAAUAAUUUGAAAUUGAGAGGCACGGAAGAGAUUGAUGUUUAUCAGUUGAGAAUUGAUGACAUGAAGGUGCCCCGCUGCCCACCGCAUUGCAUGGUUUUGUGUGGGCCCAUAAUAUUUCAGCACCUAUAAAUGAGCUCAGUUUGGGCAUCAUGACAUUUAUGUGUGUCAAACCACAUAUUUGUCGCGUCAUAGGCUCUCACCGAUUCCACGCCUCCCAACUAUAAACAUUCACGAAGAAUUAAAGCAUACAACCAGCCUACUAUAUCAAGUUGUGCUGAGAGCAGAGCAUCUCCAAUAACUGCCCUAUAAUAGGGCACCAAAAUUUGCUUGAAGUAAAAUUUGGGAUACAAAAAAGUGUUUUUAGGGCACGAGAAAGUGAGUGUCUCCAAAAGUUGCCCUAAAAUGGGGUAUUGAAUAGGGCACCAUUGCUCCAACAACUGCCAUAAAAAUAGGGCAACCGCACCACAUCUUUCUUCUCCACAUAUGGAUAGAAAUUAAACUUUGCAAGAUUUCCUUGAGUGUCUUCUCCACCAACAGCUGCUCACAAAAUUCAAUUACUGAACUUGAGUGUCUUCUCCACCAACAGCUGCUCAAAAAAUUCAACUACUAAAACCAAAUCUAACAGGAAGACCGACAAAAUCAAAGUAGAUACUAAAUUUGAGUGUCUUCUUUUAAUUUCUUUGUAUUGCACAGAACUACACACCAAAAUGGCAUGGGAUACAAUUUCAGCGAAUAACAAACGAAAUUGACAAGAAGUUCCUUUGUAACUUUCUUCAGUAAAAGGAACAGUGAAAGUCUGAACUUUCUGAAAACUAACACCUGCAUCUUGGCCUCUUACACUUUCGUCAGAAAAAGGAAAGCUGGAAACUGAACUUUACUAAUGAAUUACAUCGGGACUAGCAGCGGCGCAUUCAAGCAGCACCUCCACGACCCGUACAAACUCCAACAACCCAUUCUGCAGCACCACCACACAAACCACUAACUAGCCAUCAGGCUUUCAUUUAGCUUUGUACUCUCUCUGUAAACUAAUAUAAGAUUAUUUAGGUCACUAGAGGGAAUAUAUGAUAAAUGUGUUUGCUUUCGCAAAAAAAAAAAAUAUGAUAAAUGUGUUUGGAAGAGGGCUAACUUGCUUUAUUUGGAAUCGCCAAGGUGAAUCUAACUUCCUUUUUUCUUGGCAAAACAAAAUAACUGCACUAUCGUGCUACAAUCAGCAACAGAAUUGGUCACUACCCAUGCCAUGCAAUUCAGCUCAAUUCACUCUAUUAAAAAACUUCAAGUCAUAGCACGAGAAAUUUCCACUUUAAAGGAAUCGAAACAUCCUCACCACGCAACCCAGUAGAAAUGAAACAAUCCUACAUGCUCAACCCACAACAACGGAAGCUCCGAGCCGCACUAGCCCCGGGUCACCGCAAUUGCAUUUGAGAACUUAGCCAUGGCCUCGACAACAACAUUGAAGAAGGCGUCGGAGCCAAAGCCCUUUGUCUGGAUGUGCUAGCAAAGCUCCGCCACCACCCAUGGAGCUCGCUCAGCUUGGAUGGGUGGCCGGAGCCGAAUCUCGCAGGGAUAGAGAUCAAAUCGGACCUAGGGAAGAGGGGACGAGGUGAGGGGCGCUAGAGUUGGGGGAGGCAUCAACCGCAGUGAUGCUCGCAAGAGUAGAGGCAGGAAGGGCACGUGGGAAAACACCCGACCGACGAUUUUGCGACAGCGGCCCAAGUGUAGAGUUGGAUCAGCCGACGGUGAUUUGCAGGUGUAGAGGCAGGAAGGGUGCGUGGAAAACGCCCGACCGGCGGUUUUGCGACAGUACUUUAUGCUGUAUUUUUGGGCAGCGCUGGAAAUUUUGGAGCAAAUUUUACAUUAAGGGCAGGUAUUGGAGCAGUGUUUCUGGCCCCAAAUGCCCUAAAUACGUUAUGGGGAGAUUCUCUGAGUUGAUGGGGAGUUUAGGUGUUUACACACACUCCAAAUCACAAGUCUUACAACGGUUGUUUCAGGCCCUAAAUAAACACACAAAAUCUGUCAGGCAGAUUAACGUCUUACACCCACACAAACGGAAGCAAUUUGCUUGGCUUUACAUAUAUCCAAGGUAACAUUUCUAGAUCUGUUGGAGAAGCUCGUAUACAUUGGGUGCAUGUUGCAUGGAGAAGCUCAUACAAGUUAAAUGUGCAUGCUGAAUUUGGUAUCCAAGUCGAUCAGCUCAGGUACAAUGAGGAAUAUUACUUAGUUCCACAGUAUCUCUAACAAUGGUUGGAGAAGCUACACAUUUAAAUCUCAGACAUGCAUGUAUUUCGGAACGGAGGCAGUAGUUUUUUACAGAAUGUGACAUUUGGAACUAUAGACUGUUCUUUUCAACUACUCAGAAGGCUAACUAAAAUUUCAGAAACAUUUAUGAGAAAGAAAUAGAACAGCAUCACAUCAAAAAAAAAAGAUGGACGCAGGGCAGAAUUACAUAUAUCAAGAGUACUGCAAAAUUAAUAGCUGCAUAAAAUUCAGUCACAAACACAUAUAAUCCCACAUUACAUAAAACUCAGUCUUGGAACAAAACCAGACUAGCAUUAAACAGCUAAAUUGGACAGAACACAGGUAAGACAGCUUCCACAGCCAUAGCAGCAAACACGCCAGGAAUCACUAGACCAUGCCGUCCUCCCUCGAUGCCUGGCAGCCUGGAUGUAGGAUGAUGCUUCCCCUGCUCCAAGGCGCCUACUUGGAUCGCUGCCUCAUCUUUCGGCGCUUCCUCUUGAGCCUCCUCAUCCUCUUCUUCUUCCACUGCAAAUUUAAGUAACCGCACAGUUCAUCAGCACAAAUUGCGUAGUACUACUCUAGUAGAUGCAUGGCCAAAUAACAAGAAAGUACAAUUUGUUUUGGAAUCAGAAGAUUUGAGUGUUUCAUUGGAUAUCAUCACGUGAUUUUCAGAAACACGGACCAAUUGUUCUUCAUCAUUUCCCAAAGACUGACAAUGUUGAAAAGGCAAAUAGGAAACAACCAAACUAAGAUAUCUAAAGAACUAGCUAAGCAAAGUAGAGAUCUGCAGUCGGUUUGACAUUCAGAAUGAGUAGGAGGAUUUUAUCAUCAAAUGGAUCAGACGCCAAUAGUCAUCCUCAUCAUGCCAACCGACGCAAUUGAACGAAAGAAAGAACAAAUCUAGAAAGAAACACUGGCAAAGAAAACACUAUUCUCUCAGACAAAUGCCUCGAUUGUCCACAUGGUUUUAUAGAAUGGAUUACAUCGGACUCGUCAUAUGUUUUCAUCAUCACAGAGAACUAUAAACAAACAUGCGCAAAAAAUAUCAACUCAGUCAACAGAAACUACAUCCUAGAAUCUCUGAGAACAGGCAAAUCGAACUAUAAUAGCAGGUUCUCUCAGACAAAUUUGCCUCAUUUUUGUCCCCACGGUUGAAUGGAAUGGAUUGGAUCGGACAUCUAAUCAGUGUUGAUCAUCACAGAGAACCACUAAUUACGACAUCGAGCAACAGCAACAGCAGGAACGAAAGCUCGAUAAACACUAGCACAUGCCCAGAUCUACCGCGGUCGCGAAGCAGCUAAUAGGAGAG
rnacentral:lncRNA from 1 species